rnacentral:rRNA from 1 species
AGGACGAACGCUGGCGGCGCGCUUAACACAUGCAAGUCGAACGAUGACCCGGAGCUUGCUCCGGUGAUUAGUGGCGAACGGGUGAGUAACACGUGAGUAACCUGCCCUCCACUCUGGGAUAAGCACUGGAAACGGUGUCUAAUACCGGAUACGAGCUUCCGCCGCAUGGUGAGGAGCUGGAAAGAAUUUUGGUGGGGGAUGGACUCGCGGCCUAUCAGGUAGUUGGUGAGGUAAUGGCUCACCAAGCCGACGACGGGUAGCCGGCCUGAGAGGGUGACCGGCCACACUGGGGCUGAGACACGGCCCAGACUCCUACGGGAGGCAGCAGGUGGGAAUAUUGCACAAGUGGGACGAAAGCCUAGAUGACAGCAACGCCGCGUGGAGGGACGACCGGUCCGUUCGGGUUACGUAAACCGUUACGUUUUAGGUAGGGAAGGUAAGACGGAAAGUAGGACGGUACCGAGACGAAG